CCACAAGCCAAGCGCCAGCGGAAUGUAACACGUUGUUCAGUUCACCUUCACCAGAGAGGCAGGACAGCGACCAAGAAGUGCAGUUAAGCUGGACAAGCGAUUGCUUUCAUGAAGGCACUUCCCUCAAUGUUUCCUUCCCCAACUGCCCCACCCAAAAAGCUUCGGUCAGCAAGUGAGGCACUGUUCCAUGUUCUUGAGCCAUCCGAGGACCCCAAUACGUUUCUCCAGAAACGGCCCAUCACCAGUCCAGUCAUCCUAGACUCUACUAACCUCCUCCUGGCUGUUGGCAAAAUCCCACUGAUGACCCUACCUAGGGAAAUGAUGCACGAGGCUCCACUCAUCCCGAUGGGGUGUUUUUACACCUUCCACCUCACCUACCCCAAAUGUGUUGCUACUCUCCUAUCCGUCAUCCAGACUGAGGUACUGAAGGACAGUAUUCACGAGCGUGACCUUACCCAUUCAUACAAAAAAGCAAUAGCUGAAUGGGCAGAAUUCACAAAAAAGUAGAGAACUUGAAUUAUGUGUCCAAUGUUUGUCAGUUCUAUGAGGAUGUAUAUAUGUUGAAGAGCUUUGUUCAUUUAAUAAAUGAUCCUGUUUGUUAUGGACUGACUUAAUAAAAAUGUGUUUUUUGAAA